AAUCAACGCUGGCGGCGUGCCUCAGACAUGCAAGUCGAACGCGAAAGUCUCCUUCGGGAGACGAGUAGAGUGGCGCACGGGUGAGUAACACGUAGGUUAUCUACCUCCGAGUGGGGAAGUAACAGCCGGAAACGGCUGCUAAUACCGCAUAAUACCGAAAGGUCAAAGCUUUAUGUGCUUGGAGAGGAGCCUGCGGCAGAUUAGCUAGUUGGUAAGGUAAUGGCUUACCAAGGCGACGAUCUGUAUCCGGUCUAAGAGGACGGUCGGACACACUGACACUGAAUAACGGGUCAGACUCCUACGGGAGGCAGCAGUCGGGAAUUUUGGGCAAUGGGCGAAGACCUGACCCAGCAACGCCGCGUGAAGGAUGAAGUCCUU
rnacentral:rRNA from 1 species